CUCCUCCUCCAUCAGUCACCUACCCACAAGUCCCACCUAGGAGGAGGAGGAGGAGGAGGAGGAGGCAGCCGCACAACUGGAGGCAGCUGUCCGGGGAGCAGGGAGGAGGAUGUGGAGACCAUUAUCCCGGCCGACGGUCAUCUCCAUGGACCAGCUCUGGAAAUAUCAGCCUCUCAUUCACAUGGGACAGAAGCACGGAGCUCUUGGAGCAAAGGUAUCAGAAAACGGACUGAGUAAAUAUGCAAUUCUGUUUACAUUCUUCAUCUCAACAAUGAAGAAAAAUCAAUAGGCUUACAGAAUAUGGCAAUUGUACUUUUAAAUGAAGGCUCUCUAGAAGGUUUUCCUGUUUUCUUCUGAACGGUGACCUCUGAAAUGAAAACAACUGACGGAAAAACAAAAGUAAAAGUCUUGCCUCAGACCUGGCUCAGGGCCAGAGAAAGAGAGGCAGAGACACAGGAGGAGGGAGAAGCAGGCUCUAUGCCGGGAGCCCGACGCAGGACUCGAUCCGGGACUGCAGGGCCGCGCCCUGAGCCAAAGGCAGGCUAAACUGCUGAGCCACCCAGGGAUCCCCAAUAACUCCAGUUUUAAACACUUCAUCAGCCAUAAAGAGACACUAUCAAGUGCACCUUUUACAGGUGGGAGUACUGAAGCUGUCUGCAGUCACACACCUAGGAAAAAGCUGAACUGAGCUCAGAUUUGAACCCAAGCUUCUUUGACUCCAAAGUGCUUUUCUUGCCAUGUACAAUAAUGAAACAAAUCACAAUUAUACAGAACUACUCCUAGGAUUAACUGUGGACUCAAUUCUUUUUGUUUCACCCAUGCUGGUCAAGCACACACCUUUUGAUGGUAACAAGUCUCCAUGUCCACACGAAAAUCGACAUGUGUAUAUUCAGCAUGUUCUCCAGAAAUGAUUAUGUUGUGGUGAAAUGUCAUCAAUAGAUCUUUGGUAUCUUCCAAAUGCUUUUCAGAAUUUCAUCAAAUUGAAUGAUGAAUGUCUUUUAAUUAAAAAUCAGGGAAAAUUUAGCAAUGUAAUAAUAUGUUUAUGUAUGACUCAAUUUGUAAGCCUCUCCUCUCUCAGCAAUUUCCUUGACAUGUGUGCAGCCUUUUCCUGAAUCUCUUUUUACUGCAAUUAUAAUGUAUUCUUUUGGUUCUCUUGCUCCUUCUUCAGUAAAGAAGGAUAUUUUAUAUUUUUAUAUUUUGCUGGCUCUUUUUUCUCUUUAACAUGUAUGUCUCCCAGAGCUCUUAUAAAAUUCUGUUAUGUUUUUCUUUCCCAA